GUAGGUGGCAAGCGUUGUCCGGAAUUAUUGGGGCGUAAAGCGCGCGCAGGCGGUUCUUUAAGUCUGAUGUGAAAGCCCACGGGCUCAACCGUGGAGGGUCAUUGGAAACUGGAGAACUUGAGUACAGAAGAGGAAAGCGGAAUUCCACGUGUAGCGGUGAAAUGCGUAGAGAUGUGGAGGAACACCAGUGGCGAAGGCGGCUUUCUGGUCUGUAACUGACGCUGAGGCGCGAAAGCGUGGGGAGCAAACAGGAUUAGAUACCCUGGUAGUCCACGCCGUAAACGAUGAGUGCUAAGUGUUAGGGGGUUUCCGCCCCUUAGUGCUGCAGCUAACGCAUUAAGCACUCCGCCUGGGGAGCACGGCCGCAAGGCUG
rnacentral:rRNA from 1 species